rnacentral:rRNA from 1 species
UACGUAGGGUGCGAGCGUUGUCCGGAAUUACUGGGCGUAAAGAGCUCGUAGGUGGUUUGUCGCGUUGUUCGUGAAAACCGGGGGCUUAACCCUCGGCGUGCGGGCGAUACGGGCAGACUUGAGUACUGCAGGGGAGACUGGAAUUCAUGGUGUAGCAGUGAAAUGCGUAGAUAUCAUGAGGAAGACCAGUGGCGAAGGCGGAUCUCUGGACAGUUCCUGACACUGAGGCACGAAGGCCAGGGGAGCAAACGGG